rnacentral:SRP_RNA from 1 species
GCCGAGCUUUGUAACGCAAGCUUGUAACCCGAGUGGGGGCUUUGAGGUGCUGGAACAUUGGCUCAGUAUUAGCGGGUCGGGUUCAGGUUGGCUAUCUGCUGGUCCGCCCAUUCCAAGCCAGGAGUUGAACCCUGUGGCUCGAGCGAAGGCUCUGGGUCACUUGGUUUCUAGAGCGGAGGGAACCGCGCAAGGCUGGCUUCACAGAGCAACGACUACCUCCCGCUCUUGGCAGUGGAAGGAUAACGGGUCGGUUGUCGCUUGGAUCCAUCAUGGCUCGAUAGACUGUCCCAAUUGAACCAAAACCUUU